rnacentral:rRNA from 1 species
GAUGAACGCUGGCGGCGUGCCUAAUACAUGCAAGUCGAGCGAACAGAUGAGGAGCUUGCUCCUCUGACGUUAGCGGCGGACGGGUGAGUAACACGUGGAUAACCUACCUAUAAGACUGGGAUAACUUCGGGAAACCGGAGCUAAUACCGGAUAAUAUAUUGAACCGCAUGGUUCAAUAGUGAAAGACGGUUUUGCUGUCACUUAUAGAUGGAUCCGCGCCGCAUUAGCUAGUUGGUAAGGUAACGGCUUACCAAGGCAACGAUGCGUAGCCGACCUGAGAGGGUGAUCGGCCACACUGGAACUGAGACACGGUCCAGACUCCUACGGGAGGCAGCAGUAGGGAAUCUUCCGCAAUGGGCGAAAGCCUGACGGAGCAACGCCGCGUGAGUGAUGAAGGUCUUCGGAUCGUAAAACUCUGUUAUUGGGGAAGAACAAAUGCGUAAGUAACUAUGCACGUCUUGACGGUACCUAAUCAGAAAGCCACGGCUAACUACGUG